rnacentral:rRNA from 1 species
AACGAACGCUGGCGGCAGGCUUAACACAUGCAAGUCGAACGGGUGUAGCAAUACAUCAGUGGCAGACGGGUGAGUAACACGUGGGAACCUUCCUAGGGGUACGGAACAACUCAGGGAAACUUAAGCUAAUACCGUAUACGUCCGUGAGGAGAAAGAUUUAUCGCCCUUAGACGGGCCCGCGUCGGAUUAGCUAGUUGGUGGGGUAACGGCCUACCAAGGCGACGAUCCGUAGCUGAUCUUAGAGGAUGACCAGCCACACUGGGACUGAGACACGGCCCAGACUCCUACGGGAGGCAGCAGUGGGGAAUCUUGGACAAUGGGCGCAAGCCUGAUCCAGCCAUGCCGCGUGAGUGAAGAAGGUCUUCGGAUUGUAAAGCUCUUUUGCCAGGGACGAUAAUGACGGUACCUGGAGAAUAAGCCCCGGCAAACUUCGUGCCAGCCGCCGCAGUAACAC